CAACCUACCUAUCAGAGGGGAAUAACCCGGCGAAAGUCGGACUAAUACCGCAUAAAACAGGGGCACCGNAUGGUGAUAUUUGUUAAAGAAAUUCGCUGAUAGAUGGGCAUGCGUUCCAUUAGGUAGUUGGUGAGGUAACGGCUCACCAAGCCGACGAUGGAUAGGGGAACUGAGAGGUUGGUCCCCCACACUGGUACUGAGACACGGACCAGACUCCUACGGGAGGCAGCAGUGAGGAAUAUUGGUCAAUGGGCGGGAGCCUGAACCAGCCAAGUCGCGUGAAGGAAGAAGGAUCUAUGGUUCGUAAACUUCUUUUGCAGGGGAAUAAAGUGCAGGACGUGUCCUGUUUUGUAUGUACCCUGAGAAUAAGGAUCGGCUAACUCCGUGCCAGCAGCCGCGGUAAUACGGAGGAUCCGAGCGUUAUCCGGAUUUAUUGGGUUUAAAGGGUGCGUAGGUGGUUUGAUAAGUCAGCGGUGAAAGUUUGCAGCUUAACUGUAAAAAUGCCGUUGAAACUGUCGGACUUGAGUGUAAAUGAGGUAGGCGGAAUGCGUGGUGUAGCGGUGAAAUGCAUAGAUAUCACGAAGAACUCCGAUUG
rnacentral:rRNA from 1 species